GAUGAAGAACGCAGCGAAAUGCGAUAAGUAGUGUGAAUUGCAGAAUUCAGUGAAUCAUCGAAUCUUUGAACGCACAUUGCGCCCCUUGGUAUUCCAUGGGGCAUGCCUGUUCGAGCGUCAUUUGUACCUUCAAGCUCUGCUUGGUGUUGGGUGUUUGUCUCGCCUCUGCGUGUAGACUCGCCUCAAAACAAUUGGCAGCCGGCGUAUUGAUUUCGGAGCGCAGUACAUCUCGCGCCUUGCACUCAUAACGACGACGUCCAAAAGUACAUUUUUACACUCUUGACCUCGGAUCAGGUAGGGAUACCCGCUGAACUUAAGCAUAUCAAUAAGCGGAGGA
rnacentral:misc_RNA from 1 species